ACAUCGACGGGGAGGUUUGGCACCUCGAUGUCGGCUCAUCGCAUCCUGGGGCUGUAGUUGGUCCCAAGGGUUGGGCUGUUCGCCCAUUAAAGCGGUACGCGAGCUGGGUUCAGAACGUCGUGAGACAGUUCGGUCCCUAUCCGUCGUGGGCGUAGGAAAUUUGAGAGGAGCUGUCCUUAGUACGAGAGGACCGGGAUGGACAUACCUCUGGUGUACCAGUUGUCGUGCCAACGGCAUAGCUGGGUAGCUAUGUAUGGACGGGAUAAGUGCUGAAAGCAUCUAAGCAUGAAGCCCCCCUCAAGAUGAGAUUUCCCAACUUCGGUUAUAAGAUCCCUCGAAGAUGACGAGGUUAAUAGGUUCGAGGUGGAAGCGUGGUGACACGUGGAGCUGACGAAUACUAAUCGAUCGAAGACUUAAUCAA
rnacentral:rRNA from 1 species